rnacentral:rRNA from 1 species
AUUGAACGCUGGCGGCAUGCCUUACACAUGCAAGUCGAACGGUAACGGGCCUUCGGGUGCCGACGAGUGGCGAACGGGUGAGUAAUGCAUCGGAACGUACCUUUCAGUGGGGGAUAACGUAGCGAAAGUUACGCUAAUACCGCAUAUUCUGUGAGCAGGAAAGCAGGGGAUCGCAAGACCUUGCGUUCUGGGAGCGGCCGAUGUCGGAUUAGCUAGUUGGUGGGGUAAAAGCCUACCAAGGCGACGAUCCGUAGCGGGUCUGAGAGGAUGAUCCGCCACACUGGGACUGAGACACGGCCCAGACUCCUACGGGAGGCAGCAGUGGGGAAUUUUGGACAAUGGGCGGAAGCCUGAUCCAGCCAUGCCGCGUGAGUGAAGAAGGCCUUC